rnacentral:lncRNA from 1 species
AAAAACAAAGAACACUCGAUAUAUACGAACAUAUAAAAUGGAUAGCCUUUGUAAAAACUCUUUCUAGAACAUUCGACCAAACUGCGUCGUUUGUGAGAAUCCGUCUCAGCUGAGAGGUCUAUUGCAUUUAAGCCUCUAGAUUCCGCAGGUCUUUUUUUAAAAACCAACUCCAUCGCCCCAUUUUUUGUACGACAGAAUUCAAGCAGAAGCUAUGUAGGGGAACGACGAAAACCCAGAAGCUAUGGAGGGGAACGACGAAAAUCCGGAAGCUAUGGAGGGGAAGGACGAAAACCCAGAAGCUAUGGAGGGGAACGACGAAGACCCAGAAGCUAUGGAGGAGAACGACGAAAACCGCAACUGCUGCGUUCGCUUAGCUGAUCCGAGGGACGGGGACUGUCGUUGUUGUGCUUCAGAAGAGGAGGGUCCUGACUAUCCUCCCAGUGCGCGCGUCUACAAUUGUUUAAAUAUAAUUUUUGGGUUCCUAACUUCUGUUUCCAUUAUAUUAGUAUCAUUUAAAUUAGGUACAGAUCUUCCUGCUAAUGGUAAUCGCUGCAAUGCGUCAUGUGGUUACCUGGCCAUCCCCAUUUUCUUUUUCAUUUUGACCGUGUUAACUUGUGUCUUACACCUGCGUGAGACUUGGUAUCUCUAAUGGGACACUGUGGCAUCUAGGAUGAGAAGAAUUAAUGAAGGAGAAGCUUUUUAGUAUUAAUUCUACUGUUUUAGUUUUCUUGUUGUUAAGCUUUCAAUUUUGAAUGUAUUUUAGAGAUGCUCCUUAACUCUUUCAUUUAUUUUUUCUUGUUAAUCAAUAUAGUACCUACUACUAUUAGGCAACAAAAAUUUCUUAUAUUCUGUCAAUUGUUUGAUCUAGAGAUUUGAUGUAGUAUCGUUUUGCUAAAUUUUCAAUUGAGUAAGUUGAAUUGAUUUUGAGAAGCUAUGGUUGUGCAGGCUUUAAUGUUUGUUACAAUGUUAUUCAUGGUUUUUUUUAAGAUGAAUUGGUAUUUUGUUUCUGUGAUUGAAUGAAUUAAAGGGAGGAUGAGAAGAGGGUGUUGAUGUUUUGGGGGUUGGUGUCCUGUGUGCAAUGAAUGAAUGAACUGCACUUCAGGUGUGUUGGAUGAAAUUCCACAAUGAACUUUGCUAGUCUAGAAUGAUUUUCUGUGAUAGUUUUGCAUCAAUCAGGAAAAACCAUCAAUUUGCUACCCUAGCAAUUCAUGAGUAAUGUCUGGGCAUUUAGAGGGCUCAAACUCAUAAUGAGUCAAGAGUGCUAUUGGAGUCAUAGGUCUCACCAAGAUCCCCUACUCAAUAAACAGAAUGAGUCAAGAGACUAGACUAAUGUAAGUCCAAGCUACAUGCCCUUAAACGAAGGAAAUAUGGCAUCAACAUCUCGAGUGACCUGGUCCAAAAAAUGUAAGUGAUUUGAAAGAACAUUUAACGAUUCACUCACCAGAAUUAAACGAAAUGUAAGUAGUAAUUGGGACAUUACCAAUGAGACCAAAUGUAUAAGGAACAUCAGGUCCAGGUUUUGGAGGAGUUACAAACCAAAACUGUCUAGUUGUAUUUCCUAACCCCACUUCAUAAUAGUACUUUGUAUCAAACUGCAACAAGAACAAUUUCUUGAACAUUUCUAAUUAUUUAGUACAAACGCUUAACAUGCAGAGCUCUGUUUGAGGGCAACAAUGCCCAUACAUUUCAUUGGAAUGACAUUCAAGGAACGAUGAGAUUCAUUAAAGAUGGAACGAAAUUGGGAUAUCUACCGAGACUGUAGUUACUAAAGAAAAACUAUAUUCAACUUAAACAGGUGAAAGUUUACCCGGACCGAUUGUUUUCUCCAAAUCAAUAAAUGUGAGAUAUAUAUAUAUAGCCGUCGAUAUGGGCUUGGCCCGUUGGGCCAGCCCAGCCCAUCCCGUGAUUUCGCAGGGCUGGGCUAGAAUUUUUGGAGCCCGUUUUAAAAAUGAGGCUUUUAAGCCCGGCCCGAGUAAGCCUGUGGCCCGUGAGGCUUGACUGAGGCUGGGUCGGGCCGGCCCGUGGGCCUAAUAAAAUAUUUAUUUAAAGUAUAUAAAAAAUAAAAAGUAUACUACCUUUAGAGAUGGAAAGUCAGAAUUGGAUCUUUACUAAGAGGAACCAAAACUUGAUAUUGAGAAGUUUCAAGAGAUGAUGUUGUCAUGUAUUGGAAGGACCAUUUUAGAAAAUAUCCCGAUCUUUCAAUGAUAGUGCGUGAUAUACUUAGCAUUCUUAUUACCAUUGUAUCAUCGGAAUCAACAUUUAGCAUUCUUUAGCAUUGGUGGCGUGUUCUUACAAAGUACAGAAGUUGCAUUUAUUAUGAAAAUGUCCAAACACUUGUUACUAUUCGAAAUUGGCUGCACAGGUUUUCCCGAACUCAAAUUGGUAAUAUUUUUUUAUGUGAAUUUAAAUAUUAUUAAUUUUAAAAUUUAAUUAUUUUUAAUAUUUAACUAAUUAAUAUUGCAUAUGAAUUGUAGAUGAAAGUGAAGAUGUUAAUUAAGACAACCUUGUCACAAGCGGAUUCAAAUGUGUUUGAUGAAGAUGAUGUGUUGGAUAUCUCAUAAGCAUCAUGAACGUUCUUUUGAAUAGUUUGUUUUAAGUUUUGACUUUUAGUGAAUGAAAUAUAGUCCUGUCUUUUACUUUUUUUAGUAUUUAUUGUGAUAUAUUGGAACAAUAUAAAAAGUUCUUAAGUUUUGCAAAUUUUUUCCGAUAAGAUAUUUUUUAACUUUUAAAUAAUUAUCUUUUUUUAGGUCAGAACUUAAAGAAAAAAUAUAAAAUUAUAUUUUUAAAAAUAAUGGGCCGGCCCGUGGGGGCCCGCAGCCCACAUAGAACUGGGGUGGGCUGACCAUUAUAAGGCCCAUCAAAAUUGUGGGCUAGCCCAACCCAACCCGUCAAUUGCUAAAGCCCACGUGGGCUGGGCUAGCCCGGCCCGACCCAUAUUGACAGCUCUAGAUAUAUAUCUUGAAUAUUCACUUUUUAACAUUUAAUUAGGAUUAAGUGGCAUGUAUUUUCACUUUGGUUUUUUUGCUUCUUAAGGUUAAUUAUUCAUUUGGGUGUAAACACCUUGUAUGGGUCAAGGGUUUGUCAGUAGACAGUCUACCUUCUCAAAGUAGAGGUAAGAUUUGCAUACACAUUACCCUCUCCAAAUAUCACUUAUUAGAUUAAAUCGAAUUUGUUGUUAUUGUUAAACAUCUUAUGUAAGUAAGUACUUAUGGUACCACCUUAAACUAGCAUCCAGAUUUAUCUACAAGGAAUAAUUUCGUGAUAUUUACAGGGAAUAUAGUCGUGAGGUCUAUUUCCGACAAACGUCUCUAAUUUAGUCAUUCAUAAGAAAAUUCGCUUUGUGAUGUUCGUUUUUAACCAAAACAAGAAGGGCAAAAAUUACUUUUAGCCGUAGGUGCAAAAGUAUAUUAUAUUUGUAUUUUUUUGCAUGUAACAUGCAAAAAUAUUUUUCUGACUAUUAAUUUUUAAGAGCGAUUAUGCAAUAUCGUUUUCCCAAACAAAAAUUAUUUUAAAGGCCUCUAAGAAAGGCUUAACGUAUUAUUAUAAACUAGUGUUAGAACCCGCGAGAUGCACGAAUAAUUUGACAGAAUGUUAAUCUUUUAAAAUUUUGAUCUAAUACAUCAUAUUGUUUUAAUAAAUAUUAGUUGUAUUUUAUUAUUUAAUAUAGUAUGCAGAAAUAUAACAAAAUCUAUAUAACAUCAAAGGAUAUACAUCAUAUAUUUUUAAUAUAAAUAUAAUAAAAUUAUCUUUAUCCCUCUCUUUUCAUAUAUUUUUCUACUGUAAUAUUUGAUUAGCUUUCUUAUUUAUAGUUUACUGAAAAUUUAAAUAAUGUAAUAUUUUUACUAAAUUUUAAUUUUGACUUCAUCAAAAGUAUAAAGAGAUAAGCAUUUUAUUAUUUUAAUAAAAAACCUACCAAUAUUUUAAUAAUUAUUAAUUUUUGUUAUAUAUAUACCAAUAAUAUUAAAUUUAUAAUUUUACCAAUAAUAUUAAAUUUGUGAAAUAACAAAGUAAGUAUCGUGUUUAAAUUAAAAAAAAAGUAAGUCUCAUCAAAUCUAUUCUAUACCUCAAGAUCAUUCGAUGAAUGAUCAGGGAAGUAGUAAAAUCAGCUUUAUUUUUUGCAUCUUCUCCAAUAUAACAAUAUCAGUUCCCCCCCCCCCCCCCCUGAUUUUUAUCAUUUUAUAUCCAAAGCCACUUACCUAAUAAUUAAUUAUGGUUUGUGUUAGGUAUGUGCAUAUAUCUAUAGAUAUGAAAAGAAGAAUUUCCCUCCAAAAUAAAAGCAAUAAGUCAAAUUUUACGUGAAGCUGUAAAGGAGUUUUCAUAUUUGAAUUUAUUUACCUAUAUGUGAAAUAGAAUUCGAUAAAGCACGACUCAAGUUGCAGCAAUAACCUAGAAAACAAAGCCUUAGCCAAUUGUUAAUAUGUACAUAAACCUAUUAAGAUGUCACAACCGGAAUUUCCAUCGUCGGGACCGUGAUGACGCCUAAUAUUUCACUUUGAGAUUAUUGAGCCAAAUUCUUAAGGUUUUCAGCGAUAAACAUCAAAUAAGCCAUAACAAAGUAAAAAGAAAAGCACGAAAAUCCAUAACAACUUUAAUACUUAUAUACAACUACCCAGAAUCUGGUGUCACAAUCCACGAACCAUUAAGAUUUAGAGGGUGUUUGGAUUGACUUUAAAGCUUGUCAAAUAAGCUUUUAAGCUCUUUUUAGCUUUUUUGCAGUGGUUGGCAAAGUCAAAAAAUGCUUAAAACAAGCCAAAAGUAAUAAGCUGAGCAAUCCCAACUUACUGCUUUUGGCUUAAAAGCUAUUUCUGCUGAAAAGCUACUUUUUUAAGCCAAUUCAAACGGGCUCUUAGCUACAAGUAAGGUGUUUGAAGGAAAUACAACUAUUUUCGAUACAAAUGAAACAGUAAAGGAAAUGCAUAAAAGGGGACGCCAGGGCCUACGGACGCCAACAAGACUACCUUGGGUUUCCAAAUAGAUCAAGCCAGCAACUAGACUCAGGUUCAACUCGGUCCGGUACCAAAAUCUGCACAGAAAGUGCAGAGUGCAGUAUCAGUACAACCGACCCCAUGUACUAGUAAGUGUCGAGUCUAACCUUGGCGAAGUAGUGACGAGGCUAAGACAAGACACAUUCAUAAACCUGUAUAGGUAAACAAUAUACGAGCACAAUAACAACUAAUAAAAGCUGAACAGAUAAUAACGAGAGGGAAAACAUGAUGAGGGGAGUACAAGAUAAAGAAAACUGUAAUAAUAAAGAAACCACAACAGACAAUAUGCUUUGCACCAAUGAAAGUAUUAAACACAUUAAAGACAAGUGCACGGCAUCACCCUUCGUGCUUUUACUCUCAACCUCACCAUAUAAGCAAAAGAAACGGCACGACAUCAUCAUUCGUGCAUUAACACUCACAUAUCAUGGCAUGACAUCACCCUUUGUGCAUUAACUCUCACUCACAAAAUAUUGCACGACAUCACCGUUCGUGCUUUAACACUCUACCUCACCAAAACAAUGAACAAUAACAACAAAAAGAUAGAAAUAUUAAGAACCAGUCUUACUUCAACAUUUACCUCCACAAUACCAACCUCAGCUUUGAGUCAAUACUUAAUCAAUACCAAAUUCAGUAAAACAUGAUACGAGUUGCUAAACAUAAUGAAUAGCUAGUCUAAGCAUGAAUAAUAUGAUCAAAGAAUACAACAGUUACAAGAAUAAGACUUACUAGCAUGCUAUGACUCGACAACAAUGCAUAGGUGCUCGUCACCUCACCUAUACGUUGUACUCAACAUCCAAACACGUAGCAAAUAGGCAAAUAAUACCUAAUAUCUCAAGCCAAGGUUAACCACGACACUUAUCUCGCUCCAACAGCCAAAUUCACAGCUCAAUCAUAGCUUUUUCCUUCACAAGAGCCUUUGGACCAAUAGAAUCUAGCAAUUUACCAACCAAACGAUUCAAAUAAAACCUUAGGAUCUACCCACGAUUGCAAAAAAUUCAACUUAGGCCAUUUUUGAAACGUUAACAAAAGUAAACAUCCGGGGCGGCUUAGUCCAAACCCGAAAUUUGGACCAAAACCCGAUUACUCAUUCACCCCGAGACCAGAUAUAUAAUUGGUUUUGGAAUCCGACCUCAAUUUGAGGUCUAAAUCUCCAAAUUUCGAAAUCCCUAGUUUCUAUCCCCCCCCCCCCCCCCAAUUUCACCAUCAAAAACUUUGAUUUUUGGUUGAAUAUUAUGAAAAAGCAGUGAAAGAUUGAAAGAAAUUAGUUUAAGAUCACUUACUAAUGAUUUGGGAAAGAAAAGUUCUUUGGAAAAUCUCCUCUUGUGGUUUAUGUUUUGAAAUUUGGGAAAUUAACCAUCUAAGUCAUCUUUUGUUCAGCUGCAGGUAUCGCAUUUGCGGAUGAAAAGUGUUUUCGAAAUUGCCAUAAAAGGUUCGCAAUUACGAAUUAACAGUGUUUUCGCAAUUGCCAUAAAAAGUUCGUAAUUGCCAAUGAACAAUGUCGCACAAAAAACCAGCAAAACCCAAACUUCUCCCAAAUGAUCCGAAACCACCCCGAAACUCAUCCGAAACUUCCCAGACACAAAUCAUUUAUGAAUUUCAAUCAUAAAACAAGCUAAGGACCUGCUCACGCACUCAAAACACUAAAAAGAAGUCAUCUUUACCCGAUAUUGACCAUGGUCAAACUCCCCAAUUAAUUUCUUAACUUUACAAGUGUCUCAACCAAAGAUCCAAAAAUACAUCCAAGUCCCUUGAGACUCCAAACCAAAAGUGCACACCAGUCUAAAAAUAUCAUACGAACUUGCUCGCGUGAUGAAAUCGCCAAAAUAACACUUAGAACUAUGAAUUGAACACCAAAUCAAAUGAAAUUUUCAAGAAAGUUUUGAAAUCUUUAUUUUUACCAUCGGACGUCCGAAUCACGUCAAACCGACUCCGUUUUACACCAAAUUUUACAGAUAAGUCAAAAAUAUUAUAUUGGGCCUAUACUGGGCUCCGGAACUAAAAUGCGAACCCGAUACCAAUGAGAUCAAACAUCAAUAAUUUCUUAAAAACAAAUAAAUUUUCAAACCUUUAAUUUUCAACAAAAAUUCAUAACUCGGGCUAGGGACCUCCGUAUUUGAUUUCGAGCAUACGCCCAGGUCCCAUAUUUUGAUACGGACCCAUCGGGACUAUCAAAAUAUGAGUUUGGGUCCAUUUACCAAAACUAUUGACCGAAGUCAACUCAAAUAAGGUUUUAAGCUAAAAUUCCUUAUAUUUAUCAACUUUCAUAUAACAGCUUUCCGAAAAUACGUUCGGACUGGGCAUAUAAAUCGAGGAGGGACAAAAUGAGGUUUUAAGAUCUCGAAACACAGAAUUUGAUUUUAAUUCAUAAGAUGACCUAUCGGGUCAUCACAUAAGAUUCAAAUUAAUUUCCCUUAGAUAUCAAGGUUUAAAAUUACAAGAAUAUUCAUUACAUUCAGUUAAUAUAAUUAAAAAGAGUUUUUUGAGUUUUAAUUCAAAAAUAAUGCUAUAACCUAAAGAAUUUUUACCCUAAGAUUUACCCUAAAAAAUGCAUAUAUGAGAUGUUAUAUAAGAUUAAGGAAAAAAAUAACUGCAAAAACUUAAAAACAAAAAAAAAA